ACGGGGCCCGCACAAGCGGUGGAGCAUGUUGGUUUAAUUCGAUGCAACGCGAAGAACCUUUACCUGGUCUUGACAUCCACGGAAGUUUUCAGAGAUGAGAAUGUGCCUUCGGGAACCGUGAGACAGGUGCUGCAUGGCUGUCGUCAGCUCGUGUUGUGAAAUGUUGGGUUAAGUCCCGCAACGAGCGCAACCCUUAUCCUUUGUUGCCAGCGGUCCGGCCGGGAACUCAAAGGAGACUGCCAGUGAUAAACUGGAGGAAGGUGGGAUGACGUCAAGUCAUCAUGGCCCUUACGACCAGGGCUACACACGUGCUACAAUGGCGCAUACAAAGAGAAGCGACCUCGCGAGAGCAAGCGGACCUCAUAAAGUGCGUCGUAGUCCGGAUUGGAGUCUGCAACUCGACUCCAUGAAGUCGGAAUCGCUAGUAAUCGUGGAUCAGAAUGCCACGGUGAAUACGUUCCCGGGCCUU
rnacentral:rRNA from 1 species